rnacentral:rRNA from 1 species
UGGGGAUGACGUCAAGUCCUCAUGGCCCUUAUAGGUGGGGCUACACACGUCAUACAAUGGCCGGUACAGAGGGUAGCCAACCCGCGAGGGGGAGCCAAUCCCACAAAGCCGGUCGUAGUCCGGAUCGCAGUCUGCAACUCGACUGCGUGAAGUCGGAAUCGCUAGUAAUCGCGGAUCAGCACGCCGCGGUGAAUACGUUCCCGGGCCUU